UUCAGGUAAGGUUUAUCCAGGGUAAGUGAAGGCAGCAGUACCUUCCAGGCAGAGGGUAGGUGUGAAUACCCAUAUGCCCAGACACUGGACAAUGAGCAGUUUGGGUGAAGCUGUGAAUCUAUCUGCAUACAGGAAUGGCAGAGAACCUGGAACUUAACCACAUUCAAUGGCAGGAAGGAACAUUCUCAGUGCUUCUUUCAUGAAAAUGUUCAACACCUUGAGAUGUAUGAGACUUCAACAGAUGAACUGAUUUGUUCUAACCUGCUGCCUUCAACUGGGGAAGAUGGAAAGCUCUAAGUUAUCAGGAGAGAAAAGAACAAAAACAACAACAACAACAACAACGAAAACAGUUAAGAGUCAAACAGUUAUGCAACCUAAGGUCACACAACCAAUCCAAGAUGGAAGACUGAUAAGGGAACUUUCAGAAAGAUAAAAUAUCUCUCAAGUGCUCAGGACUGAACAAACAGAUAAACAGCAGGGUAAUGAAAAAACAAGGCUGAGUUUCAGUCACACAGAUCUCAGCAAGAACCAAAAAUAAACUCUUAUUAAAUGAUCUUCCUUUUCCACAGCACUCGGAAGCAGGUUUGGUAAAACGUAACCUCAAAACAGUCAAAUUCAUCCUUCACCCCCACCUCCCCUGAACUUGGGUCCCACU